GCCUGGGCUGGUAGAGCGCUCCACUAAAAAUGGAGAGGUCCCGGGCUCGAUACCCGGACCAGGCG
rnacentral:tRNA from 1 species